UUCCACAGCCAGGAAGUGAUGACACGGGAUGUUUGAAAUAAGACACACUAAAGAAGUAAAGUGGACCUUCACUCUAUGGGAACUUAAGGGGAUUCAGAACGAGGCUUGACACACACAUACAGGAGAAUUGGUCCAUGUGUACUGGAUUAAUUAAAGCAAUUAAUACAUUUUUGCCAUAAGGGGAGCGGUUUAAAAAUAGAAAUUUAAGUUAAGUAUAGAUUAAAAGUUUAAAAGAAGGGACCUUUGAUUUAUUAUUUAAAAAGUAUAGUUAAUAUUAAUAAAAAAGAAGGCACUAGAUAAAUUAAAUUAACCAUAAUGAUAGGAAGUGAGGUAAUAACUGGAGAGAAUAAAAGCCCAAAUAGAGUCUCUGUAGUUCAUUCAGAGCCAAGCCAGCACAGAGGACACAAGCUCCAGAUUACAAGCAAUAAAUAACGAAUGUUAUAGAGACAUUUGGAGGUUCCUAAAACGUUGGCUAUUUAAGAUUCUGGGAUCACCUGUCCAUAUUAGGAUAUAUAUUAAUUUUAAUAAUUGUGUCGUCAUGGGAGUCCCCCAUUUUAUACAAAUUAUCUGCUAGGACAUAUUGCUCUUACCUGUAGAAAGUAAGUGUCUCAAAUUUGCUUAAAUUAAAUCCUCUAUAUAGAUGAUACAACUGACUAGUGUUGAAAAUAUAUUUGUUGAAAAUGUAAUUGUUAAGACCUCCUGCUAUAGGAUGGUAUUGUGGCCAUGUGACUAUAUAUGAAAUCCAGUAUGAAAGCUUUCUGGUUUAAAUUGCUUAAUUUGUAGAGAGAAGAAAAUUUCUCUUCUCUGAUUCAUCUAAUACUACUAAUAUUUCUAAUGUGGAGUUUUUUGGAUUAGAUCAGAGAUUAUGGUUGAAGUGAGAUAUUCAGGAUACCUAUAAAAAGCUAUAUAAGUCAAUAAAUGUCUUUCCUAUAUAAGUACACACCAACACCCAGAUUAUGUUAUUAUAAAAACUUUAUUAUAUUUUUAUAUGUAUUAUAAGGAUUUCUGUAAAUUAUGCUGUUAAUAAGGUUUUUAAUUUUCUGUUAAAGACACCCCUGAGGAAGUCUGUAUAGACGAAACGCGUUGGGUGAAGGUCUUAGACAUAGUGGGUGGACAAGCUGCAUUUAGGAGCUCCCCCCGGCUGGGGUAGGCAGCAAGUACAAUUAAGAUCUUAUCCCACGAAUGUCAAGACAAAUGUAAGAGCUGUUAAUAUAUAAAUUUUUAAUAAAUUCUGCCGUU